rnacentral:misc_RNA from 1 species
GUGAAUCAUCGAAUUUUUGAACGCAAAUUGCACUCUCCGGUUUUCCGGGAGAGUAUGCCUGUUUGAGGGUCAGCCUAAAAAAAACCGACGUGGUAGCUGUUUUUUAAUGUUGACUUUCGUCGGGGAUUGGGUUAUCUUAAACCUUUUUUUUUUUUUGGUUUAAGCGGCUUAAAAUUUUUUUUAACGGUCUGAUGUACGUUUCUAAGAUUUU